AAGACAAUAUCCGCAGACAAAAUAUUUUUGGGGGUUCAAACGAUUUCCAAAUUAACUGGUUUGUUUUUUUUCCAACUAAAUUUUAACUGCAGAUGACAAGAACACAAUUGUACAGUGUGAACUGGGUACUAAAAAUAUCACUACCUACCACAGAUCAACAAUUAAAACAUCUCUGAUUACAAUAUUGAUACAAUGAUGGCAGUAGGGAUGGUUCAAAUUGUUUACAUGACAUUG